GGAUGAACGUUGGCGGUGUGCCUAAUACAUGCAAGUCGAACGAAGAGAGUAGCAAUACAAUCUUAGUGGCGAACGGGUGAGUAACGCGUUGGUGAUCUGCCUCGAAGUGUGGAAUAACCUCCCGAAAGGGAAGCUAAUACCGCAUGGUCUCUCAGGGUUUAGAAAUCUGAGAGUAAAGGAUUUAUUCGCUUCGAGAGGAGCCUGCGUCCCAUCAGCUCGUUGGUAGGGUAACGGCCUACCAAGGCUAUGACGGGUAGGGGACCUGAGAGGGUGGCCCCCCACAAUGGAACUGAAACACGGUCCAUACACCUACGGGUGGCAGCAGUAGGGAAUAUUAGAAAUGGGCGAAAGCCUGAUCUAGCAACACCGCGUGUGCGAUGAAGGCCUUCGGGUCGUAAAGCACUUUUUGGAGGGAAUAGGAAGGAAGGUACCUCCAGAAUAAGUCUCGGCUAACUACGUGCCAGCAGCCGCGGUAACACGUAGGAGGCAAACGUUAUCCGGAUUCACUGGGCGUAAAGUGCGUGUAGGUGGUUCUGUAAGUAGGGCGUGAAAGCUCCCGGCUCAACUGGGAGAGGCCGUACUAAACUGCAGAGCUAGAGGAUGGUAGAGGGAGGUGGAAUUCCAGGUGUAGUGGUGAAAUGCGCAGAUGCCUGGAGGAACACCAGUGGCGAAGGCGGCCUCCUGGACCAUUCCUGACACUCAGACGCGAAAGCUAGGGUAGCAAACGGAAUUAGAGACUCCGGUAGUCCUAGCCCUAAACGAUGCAGACUAGGCGUCGGCGGUUUAAUCACCGUCGGUGUCCAAGCUAACGCGAUAAGUCUGCCGCCUGAGGACUACGGCCGCAAGGCUAAAACUCAAAGGAAUUGACGGGUCCCCGCACAAGCAGCGGAGCGUGUGGUUUAAUUCGAUGCUCCGCGAAAAACCUUACCUGGGUUUGACAUAACAGUGGUAGAGAAGUGAAAACGGACCGACCCCUCGGGGAGCUGUUACAGGUGUUGCAUGGCUGUCGUCAGCUCGUGUCGUGAGAUGUUCGGUUAAGUCCGCUAACGAGCGCAACCCUUGUUGUUAGUUACCAACAGGUAAAGCUGGGGACUCUAACGAGACUGCCACCGUAAGGUGUGAGGAAGGGGGGGAUGACGUCAAAUCAGCACGGCCCUUAUGUCCGGGGCGACACACGUGUUACAAUGGGGGGUACAGAGGGCAGCCAUCCGGUGACGGAGCGCCAAUCUCCAAAACCCUUCUCAGUUCGGAUUGGAGUCUGCAACCCGACUCCAUGAAGUUGGAUUCGCUAGUAAUCGCGCAUCAGCCAUGGCGCGGUGAAUACGUUCCCGGGCCU
rnacentral:rRNA from 1 species